UAAAGACCAAAGGAAUUGAAGGUGGACCUU
rnacentral:piRNA from 1 species